GGGUGCUAUUGGAGGAACCUGCGGCUGAUUAGGUAGUUGGUGGGGCAAAGGCCUACCAAGCCGACGAUCCUUAGCUGGUCUGAGAGGAUGAUCAGCCACACUGGGACUGAGACACGGCCCAGACUCCUACGGGAGGCAGCAGUAGGGAAUUUUCCACAAUGGGGGCAACCCUGAUGGAGCAACGCCGCGUGCAGGAUGAAGGCUUUCGGGUCGUAAACUGCUUUUAUUUGUGACGAUUAUGACAGUAGCAAAUGAAUAAGGGUCGGCUAACUACGUGCCAGCAGCCGCGGUCAUACGUAGGACCCGAGCGUUAUCCGGAAUUACUGGGCGUAAAGAGUUGCGUAGGUGGUUUGUUAAGUGAAUAGUGAAAUCGUGCGGCUCAACCGUAUACACAUUAUUUAAACUGGCAGACUUGGGUAUGGUAGAGGUCACUGGAAUUCCAAGUGUAGGAGUGAAAUCCGUAGAUAUUUGGAGGAACACCGAUGGCGUAGGCAGGUGACUGGACCAUUACUGACACUGAGGCACGAAAGCGUGGGGAGCAAACGGGAUUAGAUACCCCGGUAGUCCACGCCCUAAACUAUGGGUGCUGGCAGUUUCGAGUAUCGACCCUCGAAGUUGCGAAGCUAACGCGUUAAGCACCCCGCCUGUGGAGUACGAGCGCAAGCUUAAAACAUAAAGGAAUUGACGGGGACCCGCACAAGCGGUGGAGCGUGUUGUUUAAUUCGAUGGUAAGCGAAGAACCUUACCCAGACUUGACUUCCUUGGAAGUUCUUCGAAAGAAGAGUGUGCCUUCGGGAACCAAGUGACAGGUGUUGCAUGGCCGUCGUCAGCUCGUGUCGUGAGAUGUUAGGUUAAGUCCUUCAACGAGCGCAACCCUUGUAAGUAGUUGAAUUUUUCUACUUAGACUGCCCUGGUAACAGGGAGGAAGGAGGGGAUGAUGUCAGGUCAGUAUUACCCUUACGUCUGGGGCUACAAACACGCUACAAUGGCCGGUACAAAGGGCUGCCAACCCGCGAGGGGGAGCAAAUCCUAUCAAAGCCGGUCUCAGUUCGGAUAGCAGGCUGAAACUCGCCUGCUUGAAGCUGGAAUCGCUAGUAACGGUAAGUCAGCACAUUACCGUGAAUACGUUCCCGGGUCUUGCACACACCGCCCGUC
rnacentral:rRNA from 1 species